CCUACGGGAUGCAGCAGUGGGGAAUAUUGCACAAUGGGGGGAACCCUGAUGCAGCGACGCCGCGUGGGUGAGGAAGUACUUCGGUAUGUAAAGCCCUAUCAGCAGGGAAGAAAAUGACGGUACCUGACUAAGAAGCCCCGGCUAACUACGGUCCAGCAGCCGCGGUAAUACGUGGGGGGCAAGCGUUAUCCGGAUUUGCUGGGUGUAAAGGGAUCGUAGGCGGCUUGACAAGUCUGGUGUGAAAGGACGGUGCUCAACCCUGGGACUGCAUUGGAAACUGGCAGGCUGGAGUGCCGGAGGGGCAAGCGGAAGUGCUAGUGUAGCGGUGAAAUGCGUAGAUAUUAGGAGGAAGACCGGUGGCGAAGGCGGCUUGCUGGACGGUAACUGACGUUGAGGCUCGAAAGCGUGGGGAGCAAACAGGAUUAGAUACCCGGGUAGUC
rnacentral:rRNA from 1 species